CCUACGGGCGGCAGCAGUGGGGAAUAUUGGACAAUGGGGGGAACCCUGAUCCAGCCAUGCCGCGUGUGUGAAGAAGGCCCUCGGGUUGUAAAGCACUUUCAGUGAGGAAGAACGCCUGGUGGUUAAUACCCAUCAGGAAAGACAUCACUCACAGAAGAAGCACCGGCUAACUCCGUGCCAGCAGCCGCGGUAAUACGGAGGGUGCGAGCGUUAAUCGGAAUUACUGGGCGUAAAGCGCGCGUAGGUGGCUUGAUAAGCCGGUUGUGAAAGCCCCGGGCUCAACCUGGGAACGGCAUCCGGAACUGUCAAGCUAGAGUGCAGGAGAGGAAGGUAGAAUUCCCGGUGUAGCGGUGAAAUGCGUAGAGAUCGGGAGGAAUACCAGUGGCGAAGGCGGCCUUCUGGACUGACACUGACACUGAGGUGCGAAAGCGUGGGUAGCAAACAGGAUUAGGUACCCGAGUAGUC
rnacentral:rRNA from 1 species